UACGGAGGGUGCAAGCGUUAAUCGGAAUUACUGGGCGUAAAGCGCACGCAGGUGGCUGAGAAAGUCGAUUGUGAAAGCCCUGGGCUUAACCUGGGAAUUGCAGUCGAAACUACUCGGCUAGAGUAUGGGAGAGGGUAGUGGAAUUCCCGGUGUAGCGGUGAAAUGCGUAGAUAUGUGGAGGAACAUCGAUGGCGAAGGCAGCCCCCUGGGUUAACACUGACGCUCAUGCACGAAAGCGUGGGGAGCAAACAGG
rnacentral:rRNA from 1 species